AUUGAACGCUGGCGGCAGGCUUAACACAUGCAAGUCGAGCGGGGUGAAGUGCUUCGGUACUGAUCCUAGCGGCGGACGGGUGAGUAAUGCUUAGGAAUCUGCCAUUUAGUGGGGGACAACAUUCCGAAAGGAAUGCUAAUACCGCAUACGUCCUACGGGAGAAAGCAGGGGAUCUUCGGACCUUGCGCUAAAUGAUGAGCCUAAGUCGGAUUAGCUAGUUGGUGGGGUAAAGGCCUACCAAGGCGACGAUCUGUAGCGGGUCUGAGAGGAUGAUCCGCCACACUGGGACUGAGACACGGCCCAGACUCCUACGGGAGGCAGCAGUGGGGAAUAUUGGACAAUGGGCGGAAGCCUGAUCCAGCCAUGCCGCGUGUGUGAAGAAGGCCUUUUGGUUGUAAAGCACUUUAAGCGAGGAGGAGGCUACCUGGAUUAAUACUCUGGGAUAGUGGACGUUACUCGCAGAAUAAGCACCGGCUAACUCUGUGCCAGCCGCCGCGGUAA
rnacentral:rRNA from 1 species